GAUGAACGCUGGCGGCGUGCCUAAUACAUGCCAGUCGAGCGAACAGACGAGGAGCUUGCUCCUCUGACGUUAGCGGCGGACAGGUGAGUAACACGUGGAUAACCUACCUAUAAGACUGGGAUAACUUCGGGAAACCGGAGCUAAUACCGGAUAAUAUAUUGAACCGCAUGGUUCAAUAGUGAAAGACGGUUUUGCUGUCACUUAUAGAUGGAUCCGCGCCGCAUUAGCUAGUUGGUAAGGUAACGGCUUACCAAGGCAACGAUGCGUAGCCGACCUGAGAGGGUGAUCGGCCACACUGGAACUGAGACACGGUCCAGACUCCUACGGGAGGCAGCAGUAGGGAAUCUUCCGCAAUGGGCGAAAGCCUGACGGAGCAACGCCGCGUGAGUGAUGAAGGUCUUCGGAUCGUAAAACUCUGUUAUUAGGGAAGAACAAAUGUGUAAGUAACUAUGCACGUCUUGACGGUACCUAAUCAGAAAGCCACGGCUAACUACGUG
rnacentral:rRNA from 1 species